AAGGGAGACCUAAUUCGGGUAUAAGACGAAAAAAUAGUAGUCGAAACCAAGAAUCAAUCCCAAAAGGUCGGAACGAGGUAUGUGGCUUUCAAACUAGGUUCUGGGUUCAUAAAAGACCUGAAUCAGGAACAAGGGCUAUUAGCUCAGGUGGUUAGAGCGCACCCCUGAUAAGGGUGAGGUCCCUGGUUCGAGUCCAGGAUGGCCCACCUGCACAGGUGGUAAAAACAAGAGAAGCGAGGAAUCAGCACCUUAUCUUACUUACAUAGUAAGAGAGAAUGCUGGCUCUGAGUAAAGAGUCCAGAGGAACCUUGAAAACUGCAUAGAGCUAGGUGAAAAAGCCAAAAAAGAAGACCGCAA
rnacentral:tRNA from 1 species